AUAAUUCUGACUUUUUUUUUCUCGUCAUUGCGAGUUAAAUCACGCAACUGAGAAAAAGUAAACAAUUCUGAGUUUAUAUCUCGCAAUUCUGACUUUUUCUCACAAUCGCAAGUUUACAUCUUGCUAUUCAGAUUUUUUUCUCGCAAUUCUGACAACUUUGUAAUUUGCAAUUGUGAGUUUAUAUCAUGCAAUUCUGACAAUUUAGCAUAAUUGUGAGUUUAUGUCUCGCAAUUCUGACUUUCUUUAUUGUAAUUGCAAGUUUAUAUCCCACAAUUCUGUGCAAUUCUGAAGUCAGAAUUGUGAGAUAAAAAGUCGCAAUUAACUUUUUUUAUUCAGUGGUGGAAACAGGCUUCCAUAUGAUACGGCCGCAUCGUAGAAAAUAAUAAAAGCCAUUCAGUCUGGUCUGAUCUUGAUGAUGUACAGGCCCUGCUGCUGCUGUCUACAUGCACUGAAGUACACUAAACACCAGAAAUAUACUCCACACAAGUACACUAGUCUGCUGCGUCAACGCUGAGACAUUUCAGAUGGUGUCUACAUUCAUGUACUUGCGUAUAGUUAUGUUUCUGGCCUAAUUUAAAGAUAUUUUAUUGUGUGUAUGUCGGGAAAGUAAAGAUAAACUUCUUUUGAUCUUAUCAUGAGUGACAACAUUGGCUGUACACGUCUAAAUGUUGUAAAGUGUUGCCUGUUGAGUUGAAACAUUAUUUUUCAUUGUCAGAAGUGUAUGCAAAUGUCUCCUCAUGUGUAUAGAUAUCUUAAAUGAACAUUAUUUUCUGUCUGUAGAUGUUUAUUUUAGCUGGUUGUGUGAUUUUUGGGGUGUUAUUUGAGCUAACAGGAGGAUUCAGUGUCAUACAGGUAUUUUUUCUGCAGAUUUUUUACAAGUUUGAACAAAUUGAGUUCAUGGGAGGAAUAUAUUCAAAGUUAGGAAAUGCAUCUCCUGUCCUGUUUAUUUGAACUGUUUUGUUUUUAUAUUAAUUUCAGAACAAAUUCAAGUGGCCUAUCUGAAAAAUACAAAUGAAGCGUGAUAUCUUGUGGUUAAAUACACCCAUGCAUGUGCAUAUUGAGACUUUGUGUUGCAGUGAUUUUGUCCGUUGUGCUUUCGCCACAAGUUUAUUUCCUGAUUUGAAAGAUGAAUGUAUAAUUAUUGUGAGUGUGUGAUGUCGUUCUGAAAUGGGUUUUGGUUGGUUGUGGAUCAUCUGGCAUGCCAACGACACGUCUGCCGUCUAAUUCAUUUUGUCAAAGUGUCUGUGACGUCACUGGCCAAAUAUCUCUGAUAUAUCUGUUUUUAUUUUGAAAAGAGAAAAAAAGUGCCAUGUACAGUGUGAACGGAAACUGAUGUGGAUUCGGUUUGGAUCCAGAUGUACUGCUAUUAAAGAGUAUCAUGAUAAGACUCUAAAAAGUAUCUGCUUAUUAUUUUAGAUAAGUCUGGGUGUCUACGUUUACACUUUAAAUUUACUCUACCUGAAUUCACCUUAUAAGCUGAUAUUCUGGACCACAUAAAAUAAUAUCUCAGAUUAAUCAUAAUAAGUAAUCUGAAGUAUAUGAAACUAAUCAAUCACACAAAACCUGCUUAUAUUGCUAAAAAAAGAAAAAAAAAGUGGGUAUCAAAAUUUGUUAUAUUGUGACCUCUAGUGGUGAAUGUGAGUACAAUAAA
ensembl:lncRNA